rnacentral:rRNA from 1 species
UUGAACGCUGGCGGCAGGCCUAACACAUGCAAGUCGAACGGUAACAGGAAGAAGCUUGCUUCUUUGCUGACGAGUGGCGGACGGGUGAGUAAUGUCUGGGAAACUGCCUGAUGGAGGGGGAUAACUACUGGAAACGGUAGCUAAUACCGCAUAAUGUCGCAAGACCAAAGAGGGGGACCUUCGGGCCUCUUGCCAUCGGAUGUGCCCAGAUGGGAUUAGCUAGUAGGUGGGGUAACGGCUCACCUAGGCGACGAUCCCUAGCUGGUCUGAGAGGAUGACCAGCCACACUGGAACUGAGACACGGUCCAGACUCCUACGGGAGGCAGCAGUGGGGAAUAUUGCACAAUGGGCGCAAGCCUGAUGCAGCUAUGCCGCGUGUAUGAAGAAGGCCUUCGGGUUGUAAAGUACUUUCAGCGGGGAGGAAGGGAGUAAAGUUAAUACCUUGGCUCAUUGACGUUACCCGCAGAAGAAGCACCGGCUAACUCCGUG